rnacentral:lncRNA from 1 species
AUUCAUGUAUAAGGAACAUUGCUAAAGUAAAUCAGAGCAUCGCAAGACUUACUCCGCAAUACAAGUUCUGCCUGUGCUAUCAACGGAGGGUGGACUAUAUAAGAAUCAACGAAGUUGUCACUAUCGCGAACUACCACACGACCCGGCCAAUAGGAUACAUUUAAAGGUAAAUAACAUCUAAGCACCACGCCCACAUGUCAUCUACCACUUAACUCCCUCGCGUCAAGAGCUAAGCGCUUUGGAAACUUAUACAUAAACUCAUUAUCAAUCAUAACUAUAUCAA